GAUGAACGCUGGCGGCGUGCCUAAUACAUGCAAGUCGAGCGAACAGACGAGGAGCUUGCUCCUCUGACGUUAGCGGCGGACGGGUGAGUAACACGUGGAUAACCUACCUAUAAGACUGGGAUAACUUCGGGAAACCGGAGCUAAUACCGGAUAAUAUAUUGAACCGCAUGGUUCAAUAGUGAAAGACGGUUUUGCUGUCACUUAUAGAUGGAUCCGCGCCGCAUUAGCUAGUUGGUAAGGUAACGGCUUACCAAGGCAACGAUGCGUAGCCGACCUGAGAGGGUGAUCGGCCACACUGGAACUGAGACACGGUCCAGACUCCUACGGGAGGCAGCAGUAGGGAAUCUUCCGCAAUGGGCGAAAGCUUGACGGAGCAACGCCGCGUGAGUGAUGAAGGUCUUCGGAUCGUAAAACUCUGUUAUUAGGGAAGAACAAAUGUGUAAGUAACUAUGCACGUCUGGACGGUACCUAAUCAGAAAGCCACGGCUAACUACGUG
rnacentral:rRNA from 1 species